AACGAACGCUGGCGGCAUGCCUAACACAUGCAAGUCGAACGAGACCUUCGGGUCUAGUGGCGCACGGGUGCGUAACACGUGGGAAUCUGCCCUUUGCUUCGGAAUAACAGUUAGAAAUGACUGCUAAUACCGGAUGAUGUCGAAAGACCAAAGAUUUAUCGGCAAAGGAUGAGCCCGCGGAGGAUUAGGUAGUUGGUGGGGUAAAGGCCUACCAAGCCGACGAUCAUUAGCGGGUCUGCGAGGAUGAUCAGCCACACUGGGACUGAGACACGGCCAAGACUCCUACGGGAGGCAGCAGUGGGGAAUAUUGGACAAUGGGCGAAAGCCUGAUCCAGCAAUGCCGCGUGAGUGAUGAAGGCCUUAGGGUUGUAAAGCUCUUUUACCAGGGAUGAUAAUGACAGUACCUGGAGAAUAAGCUCCGGCUAACUCCGUGCCAGCCGCCGCCGUAAGAC
rnacentral:rRNA from 1 species